CGGAAAAGUAGAAGACACGCAUUUAUUUAAUUUAUGCAUCCCGUAAACAACGAUAAACCAUAUUGUUAAGGCAAAACGAUUCGUAGCGAAGUUCGGUUGCACGUGUUUUGAAAUACUACGGUAUGUUUACGAUUUUCGUCGACGUUUGGAAUAAAAAUUCUCAUGUAAAAAAAAAACCACUAUACAUUACACUCUACAUUUAAAAUUGAUGACGAAA